GACGAACGCUGGCGGCGUGCUUAACACAUGCAAGUCGAACGGAAAGGCCCUGCUUUUGUGGGGUGCUCGAGUGGCGAACGGGUGAGUAACACGUGAGUAACCUGCCCUUGACUUUGGGAUAACUUCAGGAAACUGGGGCUAAUACCGGAUAGGAGCUCCUGCUGCAUGGUGGGGGUUGGAAAGUUUCGGCGGUUGGGGAUGGACUCGCGGCUUAUCAGCUUGUUGGUGGGGUAGUGGCUUACCAAGGCUUUGACGGGUAGCCGGCCUGAGAGGGUGACCGGGGAACAUGGGACAGAGAGGAAGAGCAGACGCAUAAGGGCGAGAGAAGGGCGGCAUGUGGCAUAAUGGCAGUGAGGUUGAUGGAGGAACGCCGGGUCGUGAAUGACGGCAUUCAGGUUAUAAAAAGCGUGGCCCUGUGAAGCGGCGUAAGGGAAGGUAAGGGGGAAAGAAACACACACAAUCUACGUG
rnacentral:rRNA from 1 species